rnacentral:rRNA from 1 species
UACGUAGGGGGCUAGCGUUGUCCGGAAUCAUUGGGCGUAAAGCGCGCGUAGGCGGCCAGAUAAGUCCGGUGUGAAAGUCACAGGCUCAACCUGUGAAUGCCGCUGGAAACUGUCUGGCUAGAGUCCGGGAGGGGCGAGUGGAAUUCCUGGUGUAGCGGUGAAAUGCGCAGAUAUCAGGAGGAACACCGGUGGCGAAGGCGGAUCUCUGGGCCGAUACUGACGCUGAGGAGCGAAAGCGUGGGGAGCGAACAGG